rnacentral:tRNA from 1 species
GUGCCUGUAGCGUAGUGGUAGCGCAGUAGCCUGUUAAAAAYCUAUUGGUCGGUGGUUCGAAUCCACCCAGGUACG